rnacentral:rRNA from 1 species
CACGUAGGAGGCAAACGUUAUCCGGAUUUACUGGGCGUAAAGCGCGUGUAGGUGGUUCUGUAAGUAGGGCGUGAAAGCUCCCGGCUCAACUGGUAGAGGCCGUUCUAAACUGCAGAGCUAGAGGAUGGUAGAGGGAGGUGGAAUUCCAGGUGUAGCGGUGGAAUGCGCAGAUAUCUGGAGGAACACCAGUGGCGAAGGCGGCCUCCUGGACCAUUCCUGACACUCAGACGCGAAAGCUAGGGUAGCAAACGGGAUUAGAUACCCGUGUAGU